UUCAGGGAAACCCCGGAAUUAAAAAAAAAGGGCAAUCCUGAGCCAAAUCCCGUUUUCUCAAACCAAACGAAAGGUUCAGAAAACGAAAAAAAAGGAUAGGUCCAGAGACUCAAUGGAAGCUGUUCUAACAAAUGGGGCCACUGGUAGAGGAAUCUUUCCACCAAAACGUCAGAAAGGAUCAAGGACAAAUUUAUCUAUUGAAUACUAUAUCAAAUGAGUAAUGGUGGCCCGAAUCUCUAGAUGUAAUGUAUUUUUUUAUAUUCCAAAUAGAAGAAUUGGUGUGAAUUCAUUCGACAUUGAAUAAAAACUAUAAUUGAAUAAAAACUAUAAUUUUUUUUCAUCAAAUCAUUCACUCCAUAGUCCGAUAAACCUUUUAAAGAACUGAUCAAUUGAACAAGAAUAAAGAUAGAGUCCACUUCUACAUGUCAAUACCGACAACAAUGAAAUUUAUAGUAAGAGGAAAAUCCGUUGACUUUAAAAAUCGUGAGGGUUCAAGUCCCUCUAUCCCCAAACAAGCCUAUUUGACUCCCAAAAUCGUUAUCUGACCCUCUCCCUUUCAGUUACAAAUUGCUUUAUUUUUCUGAUUCUUUUACAAACGUAGUUGGGUUUAAAUGACUGUAUCUUCGCCCAUGUGAUAUAGAAUACACAUCCCAUUUUAGCAAAGAAUCCCGAUUGAAAUGAUUCACAAUCAAUAGCUUUACGAAUACUGAAACUUAGAAAUCGAAAGUGGUCUUUUUAAGAUCAAACAAAUUGAAGUACUUGGCGAAAAAUUUGUAAUCCCCCUUUCCCUUUAAUUGACAUAGACCCCAGUCAUCGACUAAAAUAAAAAAAGUUACUAUGCUGGGAAUGGCCGGGAU
rnacentral:misc_RNA from 1 species